rnacentral:lncRNA from 1 species
CCUCCCUCCCUCCCUCCCUCCCUCCCUCCCUCCCUCCCUCCCUCCCUCCCUCACUCUCUGUCUGUCUGUCUGUCUGUCUGUCUGUCUGUCUGUCUCUCUGUCUCUCUCUCUCUCUAAUUUAGACUCUACAACACCUGAGGCCAGCACUACAGAACAAAUAACCACAGUUGAUAACACAACACAACUGAUCACAUUUACCAGUAAGUAUCAUCAAGUUCUGGAGAACAAAAUGUGUGUUUCUCCCCUAAUGUAGACUCUACAACAUCAUCAUCUACACCCACAACAGAACAAAUUACUACAGCUGACCCCACAAUACAUCUGACCACAGUUGUCAGUAAAUACAAUCAAGUACUAGUUAAAAUAAUUUGUUCUUAAAUUCAGGUCUUCACAUGUUUGUCACAUCCCUCCCUCCCUCCCUCCCUCCCUCCCUCCCUCCCUCCCUCCCUCCCUCCCUCCCUCCCUCCCUCCCUCCCUCUCUGUCUGUCUGUCUGUCUGUCUGUCUGUCUGUCUGUCUGUCUGUCUGUCUGUCUGUCUGUCUGUCUGUCUGUCUGUCUGUCUGUCUGUCUGUCUCUCUCUCUCUCUCUCUCUCUCUCUCUCUCUGCUUUAGACUCUACAACACCUGAGGCCAGCACUACAGAACAAAUAACUACAGUUGAUAACACAACACAACUGAUCACAGUUACCAACUCUACAACACCUGAGGCCAGCACUACAGAACAAAUAACUACAGUUGAUAACACAACACAACUGAUCACAGUUACCAACUCUACAACACCUGAGGCCAGCACUACAGAACAAAUAACUACAGUUGAUAACACAACACAACUGACCACAGUUACCAGUAAAUACAAUCAAGUACUAGUGAAAAUAAUUUGUUCUGAAAUUCAGGUCUUCACAUGUUUGUCACAAUCUCUCUCUCUCUCUCCCUCCCUCCCUCCCUCCCUCCCUCCCUCCCUCCCUCCCUCCCUCCCUCCCUCCCUCCCUCCCUCCCUCCCUCCCUCCCUCCCUCCCUCCCUCACUCUCUGUCUGUCUGUCUGUCUGUCUCUCUGUCUCUCUCUCUCUCUAAUUUAGACUCUACAACACCUGAGGCCAGCACUACAGAACAAAUAACCACAGUUGAUAACACAACACAACUGAUCACAUUUACCAGUAAGUAUCAUCAAGUUCUGGAGAACAAAAUGUGUGUUUCUCCCCUAAUGUAGACUCUACAACAUCAUCAUCUACACCCACAACAGAACAAAUUACUACAGCUGACCCCACAAUACAUCUGACCACAGUUGUCAGUAAAUACAAUCAAGUACUAGUUAAAAUAAUUUGUUCUUAAAUUCAGGUCUUCACAUGUUUGUCACAUCCCUCCCUCCCUCCCUCCCUCCCUCCCUCCCUCCCUCCCUCCCUCCCUCCCUCCCUCCCUCCCUCCCUCCCUCCCUCCCUCCCUCUCUGUCUGUCUGUCUGUCUGUCUGUCUGUCUGUCUGUCUGUCUGUCUGUCUGUCUCUCUCUCUCUCUCUCUCUCUCUCUCUCUCUGCUUUAGACUCUACAACACCUGAGGCCAGCACUACAGAACAAAUAACUACAGUUGAUAACACAACACAACUGAUCACAGUUACCAGUAAGUAUCAUCAAGUUCUGGAGAACAAAAUGUGUGUUUCACCCCUAAUGUAGACUCUACAACAUCUUUACCCACAACAUAACAAAUUACUACAGCUGACCCCACAACACAACUGAUCACAGUUACUAGUAAAUACAAUCAAGUACUAGUUAAAAUAUUUUUUUCUUAAAUUCAGGUCUUCACAUGUUUGUCACAUCCCUCCCUCCCUCCCUCCCUCCCUCCCUCCCUCCCUCCCUCCCUCCCUCCCUCCCUCCCUCCCUCCCUCCCUCCCUCCCUCCCCCGCUCUCUGUCUGUCUGUCUGUCUGUCUGUCUGUCUCUCUCUCUCUCUCUCUCUCUCUCUCUCUCUAAUUUAGACUCUACAACACCUGAGGCCAGCACUACAGAACAAAUAACCACUGUUGAUAACACAACACAACUGAUCACAGUUACCAGUAAGUAUCAUCAAGUUCUGGAGAACAAAAUGUGUGUUUCUCCCCUAAUGUAGACUCUACAACAUCUGCACCCACAACAAAACAAAUUACUACAGCUGACCCCACAACACAACUGACCACAGUUGUCAGUAAAUACAAUCAAGUACUAGUUAAAAUAAUUUGUUCUUAAAAUUCAGGUCUUCACAUGUUUGUCACAUCCCUCCCUCCCUCCCUCCCUCCCUCCCUCCCUCCCUCCCUCCCUCCCUCCCUCCCUCCCUCCCUCCCUCCCUCCCUCCCUCCCUCCCUCCCUCCCUGUCUAUCUGUCUGUCUAUCUGUCUGUCUCUCUCUCUCUCUCUCUCUCUCUCUCUCUAAUUUAGACUCUACAACACCUGAGGCCAGCACUACAGAACAAAUAACCACAGUUGAUAACACAACACAACUGAUCACAGUUACCAGUAAGUAUCAUCAAGUUCUGGAGAACAAAAUGUGUGUUUCUCCCCUAAUCUAGACUCUACAACAUCUACACCCACAACAGAACAAAUUACUACAGCUGACCCCACAACACAACUGACCACAGUUGAUAACACAACACAACUGACUACAGUUGAUAACACAACACAACUGAACCCAGUUACCAGUAAGUGAACACUAAUAUAUUUUAGUUAAUUACAAAGUUGCAUUAACGAGUCACUAUCUAUCACAAUAGAACUGACACUAGUGACCAUUAGACUAAGAGCUUCUAAAGGCUGGUAAAAACAAUUCAAAAAAUAGCAUGAGUUUACAUGAAUCUGUUUCUUCUUCAAUCUCUCACUAUGUUGCUUAUCUCUUGGUAGACUUUACUACACCUGCAGCCACAGCAAAACAGACCACUACAGCUGACCCCACAACACAAUUUACCACAGUUACCUGGAAAUACAGUCAUUAACUGCUGAAAAUAAUUUGUUCUGAUCUUCAGUUCAUCACACAUUUGUCACAAUCUCUCUCUCUCUCUCUCUCUCUCUGCUUUAGACUCUACAACACCUGAGGCCAGCACUACAGAACAAAUAACUACAGUUGAUAACACAACACAACUGACCACAGUUACCAGUAAAUACAAUCAAGUACUAGUGAAAAUAAUUUGU